UUACGACCAUAAUACAACGAAACACCGGAUCCCGUACGAUCCCCGAAGUUAAGCAACGUCGAGCCUGGUCAGUACCUAGAUGGGUUAAGGCUUGGGAAUACCAGGAGAUGUAAG